rnacentral:rRNA from 1 species
CUACGGGUGGCUCCAGUGGGGAAUAUUGGACAAUGGGCGCAGGCCUGAUCCAGCAAUGCCGCGUGAGUGAUGAAGGCCUUCGGGUCGUAAAGCUCUUUUACCAGGGAUGAUAAUGACAGUACCUGGAGAAUAAGCUCCGGCUAACUCCGUGCCAGCAGCCGCGGUAAUACGGAGGGAGCUAGCGUUGUUCGGAAUUACUGGGCGUAAAGCGCGCGUAGGCGGCGACACAAGUCAGAGGUGAAAGCCCGGGGCUCAACCCCGGAACUGCCUUUGAAACUAGGUUGCUAGAAUCUUGGAGAGGUCAGUGGAAUUCCGAGUGUAGAGGUGAAAUUCGUAGAUAUUCGGAAGAACACCAGUGGCGAAGGCGACUGACUGGACAAGUAUUGACGCUGAGGUGCGAAAGCGUGGGGAGCAAACAGGAUUAGAUACCCCAGUAGUC